GGAGAAUAUAUACCUGACUAUACAAAAUAAAUCAACUCUCUCAUUGGUAGUGAGAUAUCUCAUCUCAGUCAAGUAGAAAUUCUCCCCAUAGUAUCUCAGCUGAGAAGAGGGACAUAAUCAAGGUAACAACUCCUCUACCUGCCAGCUUCUGUCCAAAGACUUUCCAGAUAAUGCCUUGAUGCCUAACGCCCUUAUGGAGGGUGAUUCCACUUCCAAAUAACAACCUGUCUCUCCUCUCCUCACUGUCUUCCAUAUGCCAAGAAGAGUCUUUAGAAAAAGUUUUAGCAGCAAAGAGGAGACAUUUUUCAGAGAAGAAGAUGAUUUGUCAAUAUCAAUGAAGGCUAGAGGUUGGAAUCAGACAAAGUAUAGCAUGGUGUUAAGAACUGAGGACUAAAGUGAGCUGGACAGAGACAAUUAAAACUGGAUACUGAAGGCAGUUUGGAUUGAAUCCUGGUGAAUCUACAGAGUAAUUGGAUAGGUAUGUCACAAAUAUUGGGACAGUUUGGAUUGGAGGCUCUCAACCUCCUCUAUAUUAAAACUAUAUUACUUUUAAGAUUUCUUUUUAAUGGCUAAAUAAGUUGUCACAUAUGAUUGUGAUGGAAUACUACUAUGCCAUAAGAAGUAGUGAACAGGUUCAAACUGGAAAAAAACAUGGAAAGACCUACAUGAAAAUAUGAAAAGUGAAUUGAGCAGAACAUUAUAUACAGGAACAGGAAUAUUGUUUGAAAAAUGAUUUGUGUAUGCCCACCUCUAGAGAAAGAAUUGAUCAAUAGAAAUAAGUGAGACAUGGUUUUAAAUAUAUGUAUAUAUAUAUAUAUAUAUAUAUAUAUAUGUCAAAUGAUGUCUUCUCUAAUGGGAG
rnacentral:lncRNA from 1 species